rnacentral:rRNA from 1 species
CCUACGGGAGGCAGCAGUGGGGAAUAUUGCACAAUGGGGGAAACCCUGAUGCAGCGACGCCGCGUGAGUGAAGAAGUAUUUCGGUAUGUAAAGCUCUAUCAGCAGGGAAGAAAAUGACGGUACCUGAGUAAGAAGCCACGGCUAACUACGUGCCAGCAGCCGCGGUAAUACGUAGGGGGCCAGCGUUAUCCGGAUUUACUGGGUUUAAAGGGAGCGUAGACGGCCAGACAAGUCAGAAGUGAAAGCCCAGGGCUCAACCCUGGGACUGCUGUUGAAACUGUCGGGCUGGAGUGCAGGAGAGGUAAGCGGAAUUCCUAGUGUAGCGGUGAAAUGCGUAGAUAUUAGGAGGAACACCAGUGGCGAAGGCGGCUUACGGGACCGUAACUGACGUUGAGGCUCGAAAGCGUGGGGAGCGAACAGGAUUAGAUACCCUAGUAGUC